AUGAACGCUGGCGGCGUGCCUAAUACAUGCAAGUCGAGCGAACAGACGAGGAGCUUGCUCCUCUGACGUUAGCGGCGGACGGGGAAGUAACCCGUGGAUAACCUACCUAUAAGACUGGGAUAACUUCGGGAAACCGGAGCUAAUACCGGAAAAUAUAUUGAACCGCAUGGUUCAAUAGUGAAAGACGGUUUUGCUGUCACUUAUAGAUGGAUCCGCGCCGCAUUAGCUAGUUGGUAAGGUAACGGCUUACCAAGGCAACGAUGCGUAGCCGACCUGAGAGGGUGAUCGGCCACCCUGGAACUGAGACGCGGUCCAGACUCCUACGGGAGGCAGCAGUAGGGAAUCUUCCGCAAUGGGCGAAAGCCUGACGGAGCAACGCCGCGUGAGUGAUGAAGGUCUUCGGAGCGUAAAACUCUGUUAUUAGGGAAGAACAAAUGUGUAAGUAACUAUGCACGUCUUGACGGUACCUAAUCAGAAAGCCACGGCUAACUACGUG
rnacentral:rRNA from 1 species